rnacentral:rRNA from 1 species
GCUAAUCAAACUCAGAGAUAGCUGGUUUUCUGCGAAAUCUAUUUAAGUAGAGCGAUCAAGUAAAACUUUUUGGGGUAGAGCACUUUUUAGAUGAUGGGGCAAUUUCGCUUACUGAUUUUAAGAAAACUCCGAAUACAAAAAGCUCUGAACUUGAUCAGACAGACCAUGGGUGCUAAGGUCCAUGGUCAAGAGGGAAACAGCCCAGAUU